GAUGCGCGUCCCUUCACUAUCCCACCCCACUGUGAACCAAGCGUCGUGGACCGAAGAGAGAUCGGAAGUCUGCGCGCACAUUUCAACAUACCCCAAUGAAGUAUUCAGAAUGUACCUUGCGUUAACUCGCACAAAUACAACUUUCAACAACGGAUCUCUUGGCUCUCGCAUCGAUGAAGAACGCAGCGAAAUGCGAUAAGUAAUGUGAAUUGCAGAAUUCAGUGAAUCAUCGAAUCUUUGAACGCACCUUGCGCCCCUUGGCAUUCCGAGGGGCACGCCUGUUCGAGUGUCGUGAACUCCUCCACUCCUUACCUUUUUCGAAGGGUACGGGGCUGGGAUUUGGGAGCUUGCGGGUCCCUGGCCGAUCCGCUCUCCUUGAAUGCAUUAGCAGAGCCCUCGCGGCCUUGGUGUGAUAGACAUCUACGCCUCGGUGCAGCGCAUGAAUGG
rnacentral:rRNA from 1 species